GAGGCACGUGGGCUGAGGGGGUGGGAGGACGCUGACGCGGAGUUCCCGGUGGAAGUGUCAAAGAGGAAGGAGUGGAGGGCCGCCGAGGUGACAGGGUGUGGUCUGUGGGGGAGCCGGGAGCCGCGAGCGGAGGGCGCCGGCCCCGGCCGGACGGAGGCGCAGGGAGGCGCGUGCCUGCGGCGCUCGGGGCGGUGACGGCGAGGAGCGCGGCGCGGGGCCGGCGGCCGGAGUUCCCCGCCCUCGCCAAGUGCAGCCCGGCUCGCAGCUGCGCCGGCCGCCGGCGCCUUCCGCCAGGGCCGGCGGCGCAGACACCUGCCGCGCCCGGCUCCACCUUCGUGCCCAAGAUCUCCAACCUGGACAUAUGCCAGUUGACAUGGGAACACUGAGGCCAGCAAUUUAAGGAUUUUCACAUUCACUUGCAGUGAAUGCGGAGUCCUGGAUUUCUUGACCACAGAUUGACAACCUGAAAUCCUAAAGACGAGGACUCCUAACGGU